rfam:Asian citrus Psyllid, Diaphorina citri - Florida Strain, whole genome shotgun sequence.
UAGCUUAGUUGGUAGCGCGUCUGCCUUGUAAGCGCUAGACCGCGGGUUCGAUUCCCGC